UACGUAGGGGGCGAGCGUUGUCCGGAUUUACUGGGCGUAAAGCGCGUGUAGGCGGCCCGUUAAGUGGGGUGUGAAAGCCCGGGGCUCAACCCCGGGACGCCGCUUCAAACUGGCGGGCUUGAGGACGGAAGAGGGGAGUGGAAUUCUUGGUGUAGCGGUGAAAUGCGUAGAGAUCAGGAGGAACACCCGUGGCGAAGGCGGCUCCCUGGUCCGUCCCUGACGCUGAGACGCGAAAGCGCGGGGAGCGAACGGG
rnacentral:rRNA from 1 species